AGAGUUUGAUCCUGGCUCAGGACGAACGCUGGCGGCGUGCUUAACACAUGCAAGUCGAACGCGAAAAGUUUUCUUCGGAAGACGAGUAGAGUGGCGCACGGGUGAGUAACGCGUAAAUAAUCUACCCCGGCAUCUGGAAUAACUCACCGAAAGGUGUGCUAAUACCGGAUACGUUGGUAACAAGAAAGGUGGCCUCUGCAUAUGCUACCGUGCUGGGAUGAGCUUGCGUACCAUUAGCUAGUUGGUAGGGUAAAGGCCUACCAAGGCGACGAUGGUUAGCGGGUCUGAGAGGAUGAUCCGCCACACUGGAACUGGAACACGGACCAGACUCCUACGGGAGGCAGCAGUGGGGAAUAUUGCGCAAUGGGGGAAACCCUGACGCAGCAAUACCGCGUGAGUGAAGAAGGUUUUUCGGGAUCGUAAAGCUCUGUUAUUGGGGGGAGAAAAAGACGGUACCCAAGAAGAAAAGUCCCGGCUAACUACGUGCCAGCCGCCGCGGUAAUA
rnacentral:rRNA from 1 species